CAGUGGGGAAUAUUGCACAAUGGGCGCAAGCCUGAUGCAGCAACGCCGCGUGAGGGAUGACGGCCUUCGGGUUGUAAACCUCUUUUAGUAGGGAAGAAGCGAAAGUGACGGUACCUGCAGAAAAAGCACCGGCUAACUACGUGCCAGCAGCCGCGGUAAUACGUAGGGUGCAAGCGUUGUCCGGAAUUAUUGGGCGUAAAGAGCUCGUAGGCGGUUUGUCGCGUCUGCUGUGAAAUCCCGAGGCUCAACCUCGGGCCUGCAGUGGGUACGGGCAAACUAGAGUGUGGUAGGGGAGAUUGGAACUCCUGGUGUAGCGGUGGAAUGCGCAGAUAUCAGGAAGAACACCGAUGGCGAAGGCAGAUCUCUGGGCCAUUACUGACGCUGAGGAGCGAAAGCGUGGGGAGCGAACAGGAUUAGAUACCCUGGUAGUCCACGCCGUAAACGUUGGGAACUAGAUGUAGGGUCCAUUCCACGGAUUCUGUGUCGCAGCUAACGCA
rnacentral:rRNA from 1 species